ACUUCUUCCUUGGUAAUAUUGGGGUAGGGCUAUUCUUAUCUUCACCUGCUGGCCGGUGAACUCACGGGUGUAGGUAGUGUGCCUCACGAGACGCAAGUCUUUUGCUAGCACCACAAGGGUCUCUGGCCCAAUGAGUGAAGUUUGGUAGUAAUUCUUGCUACAGGU
ensembl:snoRNA SNORA62 Small nucleolar RNA SNORA62/SNORA6 family